GUAGUCGUAGCCGAGUGGUUAAGGCGAUGGACUAGAAAUCCAUUUGGGAUCUUUCCGCUCAGGCUCGAAUCCUGCCGACUAAGCA
rnacentral:tRNA from 1 species